GGUUGAUCCUGCCAGUAGUCAUAUGCUUGUCUCAAAGAUUAAGCCAUGCAUGUCUAAGUAUAAGCUUGUUUAUACGGCGAGACUGCGGAUGGCUCAUUAAAUCAGUUAUAGUUUAUUUGAUGGUCUCUUUUGUCUUUUUUUACCUACUUGGAUAACCGUGGUAAUUCUAGAGCUAAUACAUGCGCAAGGUCCCGAGCGCGGGGGGCAGGGCUGCACGGCCCUGUCCUCGCAUGCGCAGAGGGAUGUAUUUAUUAGGUUAAAAACCAGCGGCAGGGGUCAGCAAUGGCCCCUG
rnacentral:rRNA from 1 species